AGAGUUUGAUCAUGGCUCAGGAUGAACGCUGGCGGCGUGCUUAACACAUGCAAGUCGAACGAAGCACUUUACCGGAUUUCUUCGGAAUGAAAGUUUUGUGACUGAGUGGCGGACGGGUGAGUAACGCGUGGGUAACCUGCCUCAUACAGGGGGAUAACAGUUAGAAAUGACUGCUAAUACCGCAUAAGACCACAGGACCGCAUGGUCCGGUGGUAAAAACUCCGGUGGUAUGAGAUGGACCCGCGUCUGAUUAGCUAGUUGGUAAGGUAACGGCUUACCAAGGCGACGAUCAGUAGCCGACCUGAGAGGGUGACCGGCCACAUUGGGACUGAGACACGGCCCAA
rnacentral:rRNA from 1 species